rnacentral:rRNA from 1 species
CCUACGGGAGUCAGCAGUGAGGAAUAUUGGUCAAUGGACGAGAGUCUGAACCAGCCAAGUAGCGUGAAGGAUGACUGCCCUAUGGGUUGUAAACUUCUUUUAUAUGAGAAUAAACUGUUCCACGUGUGGGAUUUUGUAUGUACCAUAUGAAUAAGGAUCGGCUAACUCAGUGCCAGCAGCCGCGGUAAUACGGAGGAUCCGAGCGUUAUCCGGAUUUACUGGGUGGAAAGGGAGCGUAGGGGGAUUGUUAAGUCAGUUGUGAAAGUUUGCGGCUCAACCGUAAAAUUGCAGUUGAAACUGGCCGUCUUGAGUACAGUAGAGGUGGGCGGAAUUCGUGGUGUAGCGGUGAAAUGCUUAGAUAUCACGAAGAACUCCGGUUGCGAAGGCAGUUCACUGGACUGCAACUGACACUGAGGCUCGAAAGUGUGGGUAUCAAACAGGAUUAGAUACCCCUGUAGUC